UAAAAUUACCAACCGUCUCCUGCUCUCCCUCUAACAGUUAGAUAGAGACUCAGCCGAAGGUGACACAACCUCCUCCGAUUGGCCAAAACUAGGUUUCUGUUAACCCUUCCCUGGCCUGGGUUACAGGUGCAUGGCAUCUGCAACCGACACACAGAAUAUUAAACCUGUUUCAAACCCUUCCAACCUGUAAUUGUUUGUCCUCUGUCUCUAACAGACAAGUUCACAAACUCUUACUUGAGGCACGU